ACCUAAAUAGUUUAAAAAAAAUUAUAGAGUGUGAAUUUAUAGAUAGAAUUUUCUUUUAGGUA
rnacentral:tRNA from 1 species